UAAAAAAAAGAAAUUAUUAUAUCUAAGAAAUUAACAAUAGAGUGACGAAUUAAUUCGCCUUCUCUGAUUAACUUAUUAAAUAAAAUUUUUAAUAAUAAUGUAUUUAUAUAUUUUAUGUAAUAUUAACCGUUACUGCUGAUACUUCGUUCACGUUGUAUACAAUUGGAUUACGUGUUUCUCCUAGAAUUAACAACAUAGUUAAAUUGCGGAUACUUCAAUUCGUCUUCAUAAGUUUAGCACGACAUAGUUAUUAGCAUGAUGACAAUACAAAAAUAGAAAAUAUGAAAUCAUCAUAUAGCAUAUAUAUAUAGCAAAUCAGCAUAUAUUUUGGCAUAUACAUUUAUAUAGCAUAUAGCAUGUGGCAUAUAUUUGGAAUAUCCUUGAAUUAUAAUUAACUUCAUUAGUCAUUAAAUAAAAAGCUUCGAAUAUUAUACAAAUGUGAAUUUCUGGGUAAUGUUCUCUUGUGUCGUUACUUUUAGAUGCACGAUAAAUCCUGAAACCUCAGAGUAACAUAAUCAUAAACAUUCUUGGUACGAUUAAAAUGCUUAUGUUAAUUCUCAUCAUAAGUAAUGUUAUCAUCGGCUGGUUUCUCAGAACAUACAGCGAAGGAUACGUAUUUGCCUUUGUGUAAACUUGGUUGCGCAAUUUCCUGUGCAAGAUACAGGCUACAUUACCGGACGAAUUCGAAAUUAGCAAUAUUGAAGCGCGGUACUCGGAAAGACGAAUAUACAUACAUAAUUGUAUGUACGUAGUUCGUGUACUAAUCAACCAUACGGUUAUAAUUGCAUCCUUGAUAGAAAAAUCGUAAAAUUGAUAUGAUUUCAUGGAAACGCAUCUAACUUAAUAUCUCGAAAGUAUCUUAAAUAAACUAAUUAGCGUGUCUGUUAUAUCUUAUAAAAUGUAAAUUAGCAUGUAACAGAGAAACCCUCAUCAAUUUGAUUCGCUUUAAACUGCGCAAAUAAGUAGUAUAAAUAAUAAUUGUGAUUGGUUUGGUAUCAACUUCAAGUUUCCUUUAAUAUUUAUCUUUAAAAAUCGUUUCACGAUUAUACAAAUUACUAAAAGAAUGUCUAUAUUAGUAAUUUAUUUAUUUUGCAUUAAUCGUGACAUGUUAGUUGCAUUACGUUAUAUGUAGACUAUCACAGAGGAGAAACGAUAAUCUUUCUGCUAUUAGUUUUCUGAUUUUAAUGUAAUUUUAUAAGUACAUUUUAUAAGUACUUUAACAUGGCAUACUUGUAAAUGAAAACAACCAAUUAGGUCCAAAAACACAAGCCUGUUACCAAGACUCUUGUUAAAUUGAACAAACUUUUCAAAAAUCAAACGUGUAUAUUAACGCGAACUUAUUAUUUGACUGAUUUUACUGACAUCCGAAAUUGGUGAGAUCAUAUGAAACCUUGCUCUUCACCAUCCGGUGUAUAAUAACGCGUCACCGAUUACUCAACUUUCAAUAAAAAAAGCGAAUCAAGUCCACCGGAUUGCCCUACAGACACGCAUUAAUCCGUAAGAGUUAGUCAUCACCUGGAUAAUAAUUAUCUGAAGAAACUUUCAACGUGAAAAUAUAAAGUUUUAAUUGAUUAGAUAUUGUGUUAGCCAUACUUGAAAAAAAGGUAAAAUUUCGAAAUUGUACGAAGGCCACGUGAUCAGAUCGUAUUGGAAUUUGAAGUGUAUGGAAAAAGACAACUCAAAA